ACCAUAUGGGAGCUGAGAAGAAGGAGAGAAAAAAAAAAAAAGGGAAAGGGAACGCUCCUUACACGCGUGUAGCCCUGCUCCUCAUUACAUUCCCUGCUAGAGAGCUACCCAGGCCAGCCAAAAAAUAAAACCGGCUCCGUUUGAGCGUCCUAUUUCAAGCCCUUAUAAACUGUGAGGUGUAAAUACUUGUGUGUGCAAACCCACACUCAACCCUGCGUGAAGCUUGGAGCAGCAGCCCCAGCCUCUCCCCACGUGCCCGUCGUUGGGAAGGCGCCAGCUGCUGCCGCCGGCAGCUCUUUGUUGCAGGAGCCAACCUUUUAUUUUAUCUUUUUUUUUUAACCUGUCAUGGGCUGGCACAGUGCUGGAGCUCCUCCAAAGCCUGGUCCUCCCACCUCUGUGUUUUGUUUUGUUUAUUUCCCCCCCAAAAAAUGUGGCUGCCUAAGAGCCGGUUAUUAUUAUUAUUAUUUUUCCUGCAACCAGGGAUUUGAGGCAUCCCGCGGCUUCUCUUUGGAUGUUGAGUUUGUCUCCGUUUCCUCGGCCGCGAGGCUUGGUCGAAGGGCGAGGAAAGGACCCCUUGCUAUGGCAAUAGAAACCUGAGACCAUGGCGAUAUUUGUCCUGAAGAAAAGCGAUUUGCAUCUGGCACGGUGCGUCCCGGGCGGCGCGUGGGCUCGGCCAGGCUCACCCGGGCAGGUUUUUGAGGAGGAGUUGGCGGAACCCAGCGCGGGCGCUCGCUUCGAGUCUCUUCACCGAAACAAGGGCCCGAGGGAAACCACAUCACGAUAACCAACACUUGAGUUCGUCCCAAAGCAUCCCUGGGGAUGGCUCAGUCUGGAAGGAGCUGGCCCCCCAGCUGGGGGCUUGCAAGCCAGAGUCAAAUUUGGGGUGGUUUCCUUGGAUUUCAGUGCUCUUGCUGCACAGCUGCUUCGCGCGAGGGCAGGAGGCGCUCGACAUCCCAGCCUGAUCCAAACGCAGCCUGGGAAUUAUCUUCCAAAACCCAGGGAGCAAAGUUUCCAAAACCUUUUAUAAGACUCGGGUGCUGAGUUUCCACCGAUGUCAGCCCCAGACCCCUUCACGGGAUCCCAGAACGGGCGAGUUGGGCAGGGACCUCUGGGUCCAUCUCUCCAAGCCCUGCUCCAGCAGGACCACCCGGAGCAGGGCUCCCAGGACCGCGUCCAGGCGGCUUUUGGAGCUCUCAGAGGAUGGAGACCGGUUCCAGUGCUGUCACCUCCACGGUGCCGCGUUACAUCCUGCUCUUCAGACAGAACCGGCCCGCAGGGCACCGAGCUCUCCCUGCAACGCCCUCCACCAGCAUUGGCCAAACCCCUCGGUGUCCCCAAGUUUCUCAAGGACCCGCUGCGAUGGUUUUUGGAGCGAGCACGUGAGUGUUUCCCCACGUUCUCUGUCAAGUCUUUAAGGCCAGAGGCGAGGUGGGAACGAGGACGGGGCUGCAAGAGGAAAGCUCAGCCUGCAGGUGGGAAGCCAGGAGCGAGCAGCCCGGGGUGGCCGAGCAGAGGGGUUGGGGCAGGCACCGUCACCCCAUCACACGUAGAAACAUCGAGCAUUAGUAAAACAA